rnacentral:lncRNA from 1 species
UGUAUGUUGGGAAAUUCGGCCAAAUCCAAAGGGUGGAUUUUUGGGUUCAUGUUUGUCUUGUUAAAAAGGUUUUAAAGUGACUUUUGGAACCCCUAAGUACCCUAGGAUAUUAACCCUCUUUUGAGUGGUGAAAAUUUGAGUUUUAUUGAGUGAAAACAUUCAUGGAGCUAUUAUGAGUUUUCAUGAGUGUUCUUCAAUGUUCUUGAAGUUCUUGCCAAGAACAAAAAGUUUUGAUUUUUUGAUUCAAAAGUUUAAUGUUUUUCAUAAAGUUUUGGUUUAUUUUGUUGGGUGAUGGUUAUAGGUGAAGGAUGUUUAAUGCAUUUAAUGUUAGACAAAUUUUUUUCAAUGUUUGACAAAACUUUAUCUUACAACCCAUCCAAAUCACCUUUAUCUCACCUAACAAAUCAACUUGCAAAAACUUUUUAGAAAAUUUUUCACUUCUUCACUAAAAGCCGGCCACCCUAUAGAAUAUGGUAUUUUUGGGUCUUUUGUGCAAUUACAUAAAGUUUUGAUACUUUUGUGUUUUUGUAUUUUGGCCCAAAAGUUUACGUUUUUAUGUUAAGGCCCAAAAACUCUAAAGGACAAAUUGUUUUGUUCCUUUAUUGAUGUUUUUGUUAUUGUUAAAAAAUUUUGGGUUCUAGUUGUAAUUACAUGAAGUUGUGGACUUUUGUGUUUUUACAAAGUGACCCCAAAAGUUUAUGUUUAUUAAAUAAUGGCCCAAUUGUUGAGGUCAUUGUUUUUGGCCCAAAUAAGAUGAGAACAAAAUGGUUUUGUCUCUUUAAUGAGAAUUGGAUUUUCAUUUCAAUAGUUCAAUUUAAAUCAAUUCUAUGAAUCCGAAAACCAAUUGUUUAAGUUGCUUUCUUAGUUAAUGUGAUUGAUUAAGAAAAUGGUGAUUAUGAACCAAAGGCCUUGAUAAUUGAGCUAUGUGAUUGGCCGCUUUACAUUAUGAAUGUUUGGGUUAAGUAGUUUAGAUUUGAUUGUAAUUUGAUUAGUUCAAUUUGUUGUAAAUGGACAUAAGUCCAUCAAAUGUGUUGUAAAAGGGCAUAAGCCCUUCUCUUUAUUUCAAGUAUUCCUUUUUGUUUAUAUGUAUGCAAAUUGGAAUAGUUGGGUCCAACGCCCAAUAGGAAAUAACGGUUUAAUUAGAUUAAACGCGUAA